GCCUGAUCCUUCCUCUGGAAGCUUCAUCCCAGAGGGGCACCCGCCUAUAUGAGGUAUCUCUUGGCCCCUACUGGGAAGUGUCUCCCAGUUAGGCUACACGGGAGUCAGGGACCCACUUGAGGAGGCAGUUUGUCCAUUCUCAGAGCUCAAACACCAUCCUGGGAGAACCAUCGCAGUCUUCAGAGCUGUCAGACUCGGGCAUUUAAGUCUGUAGAAGUUGUCUGCUGCCUUUUGUUCAGCUAUGCCCUGACCACAGAGGUGGAGUCUAUAGAGGUGUUAGGCCUUGCUGAGAUGCGGUGGGCUCCACCCAGUUUGAGCUUCCUGGCUGCUUUGUUUACCUACUCAAGCCUCAGCAAUCGCAGACGUCCCUUCCCCAGCCAGGCUGCCACCUCGCAGUUCAAUCUCAGACUGCUGUGCUAGCAGUGGGGAAGGCUCCGUGGGCAUGGAAACUGCCGAGCCAGGCACAGUAGAGAAUCACCUUGUCUGCCGGUUGCUAAGACCUUUGGAAAAGUGCAGUAUUUGGGUGAGAGUGUCCUAUUUUUCCAGGUACAGUCUGUCACGUCUUCCCUUGGCUAGGAAAGGGAAAUCCCCCGACCCCUUACACUUUCCGGGUGAGGCAACGCCCCACUCUGCUUCAGCUCACCCUCCAUGGGCUGCACUCACCUUCCAACCAGUCUCAAUGAGAUGAACCAGGUACCUCAGUUGGAAAUGCAGAAAUCACCCGUCUUCUGCGUCAAUCACGCUGAGAACUGCAGACCAGAGCUGUUCCUAUUUGGCCAUCUUGGAACCGGUCUGAGUCUGUUUUAGCCAGAUCAAGUACUUGCAGACACUUGAAGAAGCAUCUUUCUUGUGAUCUCCUGGCUGGUACCCUGAAGUCCUGUUAUGCCAAUGGACCAGCAACCCUCGCAGGUGGCUAAGGAACAAGCAGGCCCGCUGUGUUUCAGUGGCUUUCAGAGAAGGUGGCGGGAAAUAGUCUCUUCUCAGCAGCAGCUGAAUCCCAGUGUUAGCAGACGGAGCCUUGUUUCUUGAAAGUACAUUCCCAGGGAUUCCCUUGAAGAAUGUGAGAGAUCAGCUGGAAUGAAACUGGAUGUUUUAGGGUCCUGAGGGAAAUGUAAAUCCAGCAGCUUAUUCUCAAGAUGUGGCUCCAGAACCAGCAGCACUGAUUCUUCUAAAGAGUUGAGAGUGCAUUUUAGCUGUGAUAUCUUUGUACUCUUAAGAAAUCCUCCUCAACAAGACAAAACUUGACCAAGAGCAUUCAGUUGUCUUCCAGAAGGCUCCCUUGAGGACUGGGACUCUUCCUGGAUGCACCCAAUUAAUCUAUUGAAACAAGGACUCGUGAUGGCAGCCCCUCACCUGACAAACUGGAUUUUCCCCAGAGAUCAUUUGUAAUGUUUUUCCUGAAUCUUAUUUGUGUUUCCCUAUUAGCAAUGUUAUGUAUUUCUAUAUCGCAAAUCCUAAGUGCCGCCUGUAGAACCUAACCUCCAUUUAUAGCAUGGAACACACAGCCCAUCACGUAUCCUUGCCCUGGCCUUCAGCCUCUGAAUAUUUUAAUAAAAAUCACUCUUUCCUCCUUAAGGACCAUGUUCUUUAAAAGCUUAACACAUAGUUCUUAAUAAUUGGUUGCUUUACUUGAUGUUUCUCUGUUUAUCUUGGCUGCCCAGAAGCUCAGACUUAAAUGUAAGAGUCUACUUACAGUAACAACCUUGUUGCGGAUACAAUUAAUUCUCC
rnacentral:lncRNA from 1 species